rnacentral:rRNA from 1 species
GAAGGUGUGCUGUGAGGCAUGCUGGAGGUAUCAGAAGUGCGAAUGCUGACAUAAGUAACGAUAAAGCGGGUGAAAAGCCCGCUCGCCGGAAGACCAAGGGUUCCUGUCCAACGUUAAUCGGGGCAGGGUGAGUCGACCCCUAAGGCGAGGCCGAAAGGCGUAGUCGAUGGGAAACAGGUUAAUAUUCCUGUACUUGGUGUUACUGCGAAGGGGGGACGGAGAAGGCUAUGUUGGCCGGGCGACGGUUGUCCCGGUUUAAGCGUGUAGGCUGGUUUUCCAGGCAAAUCCGGAAAAUCAAGGCUGAGGCGUGAUGACGAGGCACUACGGUGCUGAAGCAACAAAUGCCCUGCUUCCAGGAAAAGCCUCUAAGCAUCAGGUAACAUCAAAUCGUACCCCAAACCGACACAGGUGGUCAGGUAGAGAAUACCAAGGCGCUUGAGAGAACUCGGGUGAAGGAACUAGGCAAAAUGGUGCCGUAACUUCGGGAGAAGGCACGCUGAUAUGUAGGUGAAGUCCCUCGCGGAUGGAGCUGAAAUCAGUCGAAGAUACCAGCUGGCUGCAACUGUUUAUUAAAAACACAGCACUGUGCAAACACGAAAGUGGACGUAUACGGUGUGACGCCUGCCCGGUGCCGGAAGGUUAAUUGAUGGGGUUAGCGCAAGCGAAGCUCUUGAUCGAAGCCCCGGUAAACGGCGGCCGUAACUAUAACGGUCCUAAGGUAGCGAAAUUCCUUGUCGGGUAAGUUCCGACCUGCACGAAUGGCGUAAUGAUGGCCAGGCUGUCUCCACCCGAGACUCAGUGAAAUUGAACUCGCUGUGAAGAUGCAGUGUACCCGCGGCAAGACGGAAAGACCCCGUGAACCUUUACUAUAGCUUGACACUGAACAUUGAGCCUUGAUGUGUAGGAUAGGUGGGAGGCUUUGAAGUGUGGACGCCAGUCUGCAUGGAGCCGACCUUGAAAUACCACCCUUUAAUGUUUGAUGUUCUAACGUUGACCCGUAAUCCGGGUUGCGGACAGUGUCUGGUGGGUAGUUUGACUGGGGCGGUCUCCUCCUAAAGAGUAACGGAGGAGCACGAAGGUUGGCUAAUCCUGGUCGGACAUCAGGAGGUUAGUGCAAUGGCAUAAGCCAGCUUGACUGCGAGCGUGACGGCGCGAGCAGGUGCGAAAGCAGGUCAUAGUGAUCCGGUGGUUCUGAAUGGAAGGGCCAUCGCUCAACGGAUAAAAGGUACUCCGGGGAUAACAGGCUGAUACCGCCCAAGAGUUCAUAUCGACGGCGGUGUUUGGCACCUCGAUGUCGGCUCAUCACAUCCUGGGGCUGAAGUAGGUCCCAAGGGUAUGGCUGUUCGCCAUUUAAAGUGGUACGCGAGCUGGGUUUAGAACGUCGUGAGACAGUUCGGUCCCUAUCUGCCGUGGGCGCUGGAGAACUGAGGGGGGCUGCUCCUAGUACGAGAGGACCGGAGUGGACGCAUCACUGGUGUUCGGGUUGUCAUGCCAAUGGCACUGCCCGGUAGCUAAAUGCGGAAGAGAUAAGUGCUGAAAGCAUCUAAGCACGAAACUUGCCCCGAGAUGAGUUCUCCCUGACUCCUUGAGAGUCCUGAAGGAACGUUGAAGACGACGACGUUGAUAGGCCGGGUGUGUAAGCGCAGCGAUGCGUUGAGCUAACCGGUACUAAUGAACCGUGAGGCUUAACCUUACAACGCCGAAGGUGUUU